rnacentral:lncRNA from 1 species
AAAAAAAAAAAAGGCGAACCGAGCCGGCUCAUGCAUAGACGAGCCGAGUUUGGAGGCAGGCGAGUCGGGUGGCUUGAUUUAUUUGAUUUAACACCCGUAAAUGGAAGGAGAGGUUCCAAUGAGCAAGUUUGAUCAAAUGAAUGAUUCUUCACGAAAAAGAACACAAUACUAUAUUCGAAGACUUGAAACUUUGAUAUGUUUUGGACACUGAUAUCCGUGAAAUUAUGGCUAUUCAAUCCACACAGAAAAGGAUUCUGUAUGAGCAAAUCGAACCUUGAAGUUUAUUCAAAUUUGGCAUUCAUAUUCCUUUUGGUCUUGGUCUUGGUCUUAUUUCUCUUUAGUCUCCUUCUGCCUUUGAGUCACCAAUUGGACAAACCAUCAUUAUUAUUUAUCGAAAGUCUCAACAAG